AUCUGCAAAUAGUGAUAUUUUGACUUCUUCCUUUCCAAUUAGUAUCCCUUUGACCUUUUGUUGUCUAAUUGCUCUGGCUAAGACUUCAAGUACUAUAUUGAAUAGAAUGGGAGAAAGGGCAGCCUUGUCUAGUCCCUGAUUCUAGUGGGACUGCUUCAAGUUUCUCUCCAUUUAAUUUGCUGUUGGCUACUGGUUUGCUGUAUAUUGCUCUUACUGUGUUUAAAUAUGGGCCUUGAAUUCCUCAUCUUUCCAAGACUUUUAACAUGAAGGAAUGUUACAUUUUGUCAAAUGCUUUCUCAGCAUCUAAUGAAAUGAUCAUGUGGUUUGGUUUUUUUUAUUAUUAUUAUUGUUGUUGUGGCAUUUGUUUAUGUAGUGGAUUACAUUGACGGAUUUCUGUAUAUUGACCAUGCCUGCAUCCCUGGGAUGAAGCCUACUUGAUCGUGGUGAAUGAUAGUUUUGAUGUGUUCUUGGACUCAGUUUGUGAGAAAUUUAUUAAAUGUUUUUGCAUCAAUAUUUAUAAGGGAAAUUGCUCUGAAGUUCUCUUUCUUUGUUGGGAUUGUGUAGAUUAGGUAUAAGCUGCAAUUGUGGCUUCAUAGAACAAAUUGGGUCGUCUUUCUUCUGUUUCUAUUUUGUGGGGUAGUUUGAAGAGUAUUGGUAUUAGGUCUUCUUUGAAGGUCUGAUAGAAUUCUGCACUAAACCCUUCUGGCCCUGCGCUUUGUUGUUGUUGUUGUUGUUGUUGGAAGGUAAUUUCUUUAAUUUCUUUUUCAAGUAAUGAUGUAAUAUUAACAUUCUCAGACACAGCACACCCCCUAAUGUUAUGAAGCACUUGGAUUUUUAAAGCAAUACUGAUAAUAGUUACCAAAUAUAUAAUCAAAUGGUACAUUAAAAGGAUAUGUGUCAUUUUAUUAUUUCAAACUUUUUGUUCUGAACAAUACAGUUUUACGUUUUAAGAAUACUAUGCUAAUUCACUUCUGGUAGUUGGAAAAUGCCUUCUGAUUCAAUUCGAUAGUUUUAGCACUAGAGGGCAGCCUUGCCUGCUUCUGGAUUGUGAAGAACUGAGUGAAUUUAAUUAAGCUAGCUUAAUCUUAAACAUUCAACCUCAGUAAAUGAAUGUCUUAGUCUCUUUAGAAUCAAGUUUUCCAUCCACUGUGGGUUUUUUCUUAUUAUUCUGAAAGUACAAAAUAAGACUGAUUUUGAGGGAGAGGGAGUUAGUUGUUGAUGUUAUUAUAUAUCUCCAUAUAAAAUCCAAGGAAAACACAAGUAUCAUUUACUGUAGUUAUGUUCAGAUAUGAUAAUGGAUUGAACAUAGAAACAUAUAAAUGGAACAGAAUAUGGAGCUAAUUAAAGAAAAUCUUGUACAUGAAAAUAUUUAUUCAGAAAACAGAUUUAGCUCCUAACUGUGCUGAUCUUGUAAUAGGAGUCAAGGCAAAACCAUAUCCAAGUGAGUACCUAUGUAAAUAAGCUGUUGUACAAGCAUUCCCAGCGCUCCAGAGUUUGCACCUGUGUACUAAAUAUCUGUUCUCUUCAGUUUUAGAGAUCCUGACCCGUUAGUCUUUGGUGCUGGCAAGUACCCAUCACAGUGCUUGGCAUUUAGGCUAAUCCACACUGUUUGAAUAUGUAGAUACAAAGCAUCACAGCUUAUACAAACCUGUUUUCACACGUCUAGGGAAGCUUUCCUAUCAUUGUGUCUGAAGAUAUGAAUAUAUACUUCUGUCUUUUCUUAUUUUCUCUAACAACCUUUACCUAUGGAUAAAGGUUAUUAGACAUUGACUAUUAGACUGUAAUGUUUAGUAGGAAACAAAAUAAAUAAAAACCAAAAGCAUUGUCAACGGUGGAAAGGAAAUUCUAGCCUUUUUACAGUCCUCGGAUUUCCAAUCUGACUUUUAUUGGAGAAGUUGAAGGUGAAAUAUAACAUCUGCAGUGAAUGAACCCUCUUCUUUCUCACAAUUUUCACUAGGAAGGUCUUCUCACAUUCAGGACUGGUUUUCUGCACCUUUGGGCAUUCUUUCUUCCUCAUGCUAGUUCUUGAAUUUCUUUGUACAUGAAGAUCUUUGUAACAUCCUUAUUUAUCAGGACAAGGCAAUACCGUGCAGACUAUCUAUUCUCCAGUCUGAAUCAAGCAUCAGUUGAACUUGCUGGAUAUGUGUUCAAUAAAUGCUAGCAGUUACAUAAAAUCAUUUGAAAGAGUUGGUCCACUUAUAGAUGCAUUUGGUAAUGUAAGAAAAACUUGGCCCCUAAUGUCAAUGAUGUUUACCAAUUAUUUCCUCUGUUAGUACAGUUGACAUGGUUCAGUGGUUCUUAAGAAGUGGUUAAAUAUAAGUAAGUGGGAUUCUUAGUCUAGAGCAGCAGUUCUCAACCUGUGAGUCGGAACCCCUUUGUGGUCAAACAAUUCUCUCACAGGGGAAAUCUAGAGGUUUGAAAAAUAGAUAUUUACAUUACUAUUCAUAACAGUAGCAAAAUUACAGUUGGGAUGUAGCAAUGAGAUUAUUUUAUGGUUGGGGUUCACCACAAUAUGAGGAGCUGCGUUAAAGAAUAGCAUUAGGAAGAUUGAGAACCACUGGUCUAGAUUGUGUUUGGAAUGAAUACACAAGCCUUAACUGCUAUAGUUAUCUUUAAAAAUCUGUCCAUUUACACUGCACAGGAAGAAUUUUAUGAAACAAAGUAUUUUAAUGUCUUACUACUUCUCUUAAAUCAAUUGUUUUUUAAAAUUAGAUAACACUGUUUCAAAAGAAAUUUUACCAGAAGUACAAUUUCUUAAAAUAACUAAGUGUUCUGGUUGGACCAGGGAGCUCUGUGUCUUCUUCACUCACCUGUACUAUUUCCUAACUUUCAAAGGACCACUACCUUUCUAGUUGCUGUGCUUUGAGCACCACUUUGUGCCCACUUGUACUUCACAGAGUGGAGAAACUCUAGAUUUCUAUUUAGAAAUUUCUAUUACGUCCUUACAUAAAGUCAGGAAGUAUCUGGCAUUGUUUUGAUCUGCAUAUGAUGACAAGUGCUUCAAGUCUCACUGGGAACUUUCUAGAACGAUAGAGUAUGUUAGCCUUGUUUUAGAUUCAUUAUCUAGAGUUAUGCC
rnacentral:lncRNA from 1 species